rnacentral:rRNA from 1 species
AUUCCAGCUCCAAUAGCGUAUAUUAAAGUUGUUGCAGUUAAAAAGCUCGUAGUUGGAUUUCUGGCAGGAGCGACCGGUCACACACUCUGUGUGUGAACUUGUGUUGUCUCUGGCCAUCCUUGGGGAGAUCCUGUUUGGCAUUAAGUUGUCGGGCAGGGGACAUCCAUCGUUUACUGUGAAAAAAUUAGAGUGUUUAAAGCAGGCUUAUGCCGUUGAAUAUAUUAGCAUGGAAUAAUAAGAUAGGACUUCGGAACUAUUUUGUUGGUUUGCGUUACGAAGUAAUGAUUACUAGGGACAGUUGGGGGUAUUCGUAUUUCGUUGUCAGAGGUGAAAUUCUUGGAUAUCCGAAAGACGAACUACUGCGAAAGCAUUUACCAAGGAUGUUCUCAUCG